rnacentral:rRNA from 1 species
AACGAACGCUGGCGGCAUGCCUAACACAUGCAAGUCGAACGAGACCUUCGGGUCUAGUGGCGCACGGGUGCGUAACGCGUGGGAACCUGCCCUUAGGUUCGGAAUAACUCCCCGAAAGGGGUGCUAAUACCGGAUAAUGUCUUCGGACCAAAGAUUUAUCGCCUUUGGAUGGGCCCGCGUUGGAUUAGCUAGUUGGUAGGGUAAAAGCCUACCAAGGCGACGAUCCAUAGCUGGUCUGAGAGGAUGAUCAGCCACACUGGGACUGAGACACGGCCCAGACUCCUACGGGAGGCAGCAGUGGGGAAUAUUGGACAAUGGGCGAAAGCCUGAUCCAGCAAUGCCGCGUGAGGGAUGAAGGCCUUAGGGUUGUAAAGCUCUUUUACCCGGGAUGAUAAUGACAGUACCGGGAGAAUAAGCUCCGGCUAACGCCG